GGGAAUGCCACUUUCAGUACUAAGGCAAGACUCUGGGCUGAAAAGGGCCAACAUUCAAAUUGAAUCAGCUUGGGAGGAGAGGCGUCUGGGAAGGAAACUCUCUCAGAACCAAGAUGGCACCUGUUUUCUCAGCUUGUGACUAGAAGACGAUGGUAGCAGAUCAGAAGGCAACUUGAGAAGACAAAUCUCCACACCGACUUUUCCCUGACACCAGCAGUGGACCCAGGAGGAACUAUGAGUUCUUGGCUGCCCUUCUCCUCAAGCCAUUGGGACACCAGGGCUGGCUUGGUCUUAAGACAUCUCUAGCUGCGAGGGAAGUUAAGGCAUAUCGUCCUGGCAUCAACACGUCCAGUCAACCAUUCCAUCACUAACGAGAAAGAAGACCGUGGAUACUGAA